UCCCGAGUAGCUCAGGUGGUAGAGCGGGUGACUGUUAAUCACCAUGUCGGGGGUUCGAGUCCCUCCUCGGGAG
rfam:Gemmatimonadetes bacterium SCN 70-22 ABS52_C0021, whole genome shotgun sequence.